GAGACCUUCAAAAUAGGACCAACCUUGCUCUGAUCGGAUACCAUUUGAAAAAGACAAUUAUCGAACGGUCUAGAUCACUCAAUGAUAUUUUUCAGCCAUUUUGAUUCUAGUAAAUUAAAUAUAAUUAUUAAUAAUUUAUUGGCUUUGUUUAGGUGCGAUCUGUAACGCUCUCAUCGUAUGUAGUCCGUACAUUCUACUUUUC
rnacentral:misc_RNA from 1 species